rnacentral:rRNA from 1 species
GACGAACGCUGGCGGCGUGCUUAACACAUGCAAGUCGAGCGGUAAGGCCCUUUCGGGGGUACGACGAGCGGCGAACGGGUGAGUAACACGUGGGUGACCUGCCCUCAGCUCUGGGAUAAGCCUGGGAAACCGGGUCUAAUACUGGAUAUGACUCCAUGACGCAUGUUGGUGGGGUGGAAAGCCUUGUGCGGCUGAGGAUGGGCCCGCGGCCUAUCAGCUUGUUGGUGGGGGUGANGGCCUACCAAGGCGACGACGGGUAGCCGGCCUGAGAGGGCGACCGGCCACACUGGGACUGAGACACGGCCCAGACUCCUACGGGAGGCAGCAGUGGGGAAUCCUGCGCAAUGGGCGAAAGCCUGACGCAGCGACGCCGCGUGAGGGAUGACGGCCU